GAAUUUUGGACAAUGGGCGAAAGCCUGAUCCAGCAAUGCCGCGUGCAGGAUGAAGGCCUUCGGGUUGUAAACUGCUUUUGUACGGAACGAAAAGCUUUGGGUUAAUACCCUUGAGUCAUACAGGUACCGUAAGAAUCAGCACCGGCUAACUCAGUGUCCGCAGCCGCGGUAAUACGUAGGGUGCAAGCGUUACUCGGCAUUACUGGGCGUAAAGAGUGCGCAGGCGGUUUUGUAAGACAGAGGUGAAAGCCCCGGGCUCAACCUGGGAACUGCCUUUGUGACUGCAAGGCUAGAGUACGGCAGAGGGGGGUGGAAUUCCGCGUGUAGCAGUGAAAUGCGUAGAUAUGCGGAGGAACACCGAUGGCGAAGGCAACCCCCUGGGCCUGUACUGACGCUCAUGCACGAAAGCGUGGGGAGCAAAC
rnacentral:rRNA from 1 species